AAGACUCGAGAAUAAUCAUCUUUGGCUCAGUGGUUUGUCCUCCAGGCCCAUUGGGGUGGCAGUCUCACCCACGUGGCUUUGAGACAGUGGCCCCACCUCACCUCAUCUCUGCAGCACAGCCUGGCUACUGACACCAAGGAAGUGGGCCCACCCUAUGAAACUAAGAAGAAAGAAGCCUUGUACACAUGGGCUUGUGGAUGCUGCAGUCUGAAAAGAGUAGAAAAGAAUAACUUUACAUUGGAGAAGCCUAACAAGCACUACUUCAGCCAGGUGAUCAAAGUUGACAUCAAUCGUGAUAAGUCAUACUUUGAAAAUAGCAGCUUCUGAAAACAGAGGAACAGUACUCUGACCUAUUUAUUGAAUGACAAAGAAGCCUAGCUUCGACUGGAGCCCAGAAGAGGAAUUGUUGUCAGAUACCACCCUAAAAGCUUUGUGAUGGACUGAACUCAAGUGUAACCUCGUGGUGCUAACUAUGAACAGAAUCAAGAGACUCUUAUACCUUCCCUCACAUCUUUCUGGCUGCCCUGCUUUCAUUCCAGCCAUUCUGGGGCAACCAGCACAGAGCAGAUACAACCUGACAGCGCCUUGACCCAGCUACACCUCCUGCCUCUUGCUUUCUCACUCAGACCUCUCUAAGUAA